CACCUCACUUGGAACGCCUCGCUUGCGCGCCGCUCGUCGUUGAAGGCCGUUAACCCGGGGUGCGUUCUUGAACAAAAAGGCCUGGCGCCACAAAAGCGGGAACUCCAGAUCCUCCUCCCUGUCCACUGCAGUUGAAACUGACGCAGCAAAGGCUUUCUAAAGGGAAUGGGAAGAGUAACUGAAGAAAAAAAGCCUAGGCGAAGGGAGUAAGACUCGGUGUCUUGCCAGCAUAAACAGGACGACCCGAACGGCCUCUUUGUAUCUUACAAUCAGUUAAGUGAUUCUGCAACCUCAUCAAAAGAACUACUUUGAAGACGAGAGACCAACCUCUACAGCCAGCCACCACCUCGCAGUAAAACGCCUCCUCAUUUGUCCAUCUGAAAGGCGACGGUGACCGGCGGCCCCGCCCGCCCUCACUCACUCCGAUUGGUCGGAGGACCCGUCGCAUGCAAUUGGUCUUCCAGUAGUACAUCUGUUCCUAUUUGUGCUACUAUGCCGUCAAUCAGUCGUGUCUCGUUGUAAGGUCACUGGGGGCGGGGUUCACUGGUGCGGGGCGUGGCUGAGUGGAUGACAUCAUCACUUUGCGAAUAGAGCCGGAAGUUGAUCCCAGCUGCAGAGGAGCUAGAGAACUGAAGCCAGCUCUCGGAAACAGAGAGUAAACUGGGAGUGGAGGAAACUAAUGGUGGAGAUGAAUUUUUUUUUAGACAAGAUUGGAGCGAGAGUAUGUGGAACUGGGAUUUACAGCUUUGGGAGAACAUGAGUGGACAUGAUCACCGUAGAAACUGUAUUUGUCUAAUCUGGAUUUCCAUUCUACACUGGCAUUGUAAAUUCAUUCCACAUGGGAUUGCAAGGAAGGAGUGCUUCUAACAUAGAAUCCCUACAGUGUGGAAACAGGCCCUUCAGCCCAACAAGUCCACACUGACCCUUGGAGCAUCCCACCCAGACCCAUCCCCCUGUAACCCACCGCGAGGCUCAGACGAAACAUCGUAUCAGCAUCUGAUUGAAUCAUUCUGUUCAUCGGAGCCUGAAUGUUGUCAGCCUUUAAAUGUGAAAGGAGAAAUAUUCUAUCUUUGCUAAAAUACUUAAAACAUCAAUGUGACUGGAAAAGCACUGAAACACCCUGAGAGUGUUCCCGUGAAGUGAAUGAGUUUGCAACAAUUUUGCAGCCUGAAAUAAAUUGUCCAGUUUUCAGUGAGCAGAGACUGUACAGAUGUUUUGCUUGUAUGCAGAGACAAGGCUUCAAUUAAUUAUCCAACCUGGCGAGUCACAAGGAUACCUACAUGAUGGAGAACUGUGUGCAUGUGGAGAGUGUGGAAAGUGAUUCAAUUACCCUUUGAAUUGAUAUUCAUCAACACAGACACAUUGGAGAUAAACCAUUCAUGUGUCCUAAGUGUGGGCAAAAUAUUUGCUUACUCAUCCAUCCCCUAUAUAUACCAAAUGGUACACACUUGUAAGAGACAUUUUGCCAUUGUUGAAUGUCAGGAAUGAUCUGAUGCUUCAUCAAACCUCCUGAUCAGGUUCACUUUGAUCAGAGACCUUUUAAAUGUUUUGAUUGUGAGAAGAGCUUUAAAAGCAAACAGGAGCUGCUGAGACAUCAACACAUUCACACAGGAGUGACACCUCACACUUGCUGCAUUUGUGGAAAGGCAUUCACUCUGUCAUCCCAACUUCUGACACACCAACUUGUUCACACUGAUCAGUGACCUUGUCUGUGUUCUGACUGUGGGAAAUGUUUCAAAAGUAAAAAUGAUUUGCAAAUCCAUCAACGCAUUCACACUGGAGAAAGCCAGUCAUCUGAUCCCUGUGUGAGAGUAAAUUCAGGUGUUUAUCAGCAGGUUCACACUGAUAAAAGACCUUUAAAUUGUUCUGUUUGUGAGAAAGGCUUUAAAAGCAAACAAGAUCUGUUAACACAGCAGCAAGUUGACACUGGGGAGAGACCAGUCACCUGUUCCAUACAUGGAAGGAAUUCACUCGCUCAUCCUACUGUCUGAGACACCAGUGAGCUCACACUGGAAAGAGCCAUUCAUCUGCUUGUUUGUGGAAAAGGAUUCACUGAUUCGCCCUGAUACACCAGCAAAUUCACACUGGAGAGACCGUUCAUUUGCUCCAUAUGUGGGAAGGGAUUCGCUCAGCCAUCCCAGCUCAUUGACCACCAACUGGUUCACAGUGAUCAGAGACCUUCCAAAUGUGCUGACUGUGAAAAAAAGCCUUAAAAGCAGGAAGUAUCUGGUCACACACCAGUGAGUUCACACUGGGUGAAGCCAUUCACCUGUUCUAAGAGCAGGAAGGAAGUCAGUCAGUCAGUCAUCCCACCUGCUGAGCCAUCAGCAGCUUCACAUCAGAGAGAGAUUGUUCAUUUGCUCCAAGUGUGGGAAGAGAUUUGCUCAAUCGUCCAACUUGCUGAGAAAUCAGCACAUCCACAAGUGAUUGCUGGGUCAGAUUCUACAGUUGUGAUCAUAUUCAGCACUGAAUCACAUCCAGAACCGAGCCAAGGUCAUUAUGACAGGAACUAAGAAACAAAAGAUGUGCUUGGAGCAGAUGUGCUGCCGACUGAAGGAAACAAAACAGGGGACAGUGUUUGAUCACCGAAAAUGUGGAACUCGAUGCUGAGUCCAGGAAGCUAUAAAGUGUGGAGGAAGGAAGUUUCUCUGUGUCUAUACUGCCUUCAGGCAUCUAUUUGGGUUUUACUGGUUUGAACUGGGAGUGAUUCAGUUCCCACUGACCCAGCCCCAAUCCCAUCUCCUUGUCUGAGCAGUGAGAUGCCACCAAGAGAGAGACAGAGGGAGAGAGGAAGACAGAGAGAGAGAGACACUCCAGGCGAGAUUCCACACACAGACUGGCAGAGAGAAACUGAGGGAGACACGGAGAGAGACACAGAGAGAGCGAGAGACCGAGAGGGAUAGAGAAUGUGACUUUCUCCCAGUCUCUGUCUUCCUCUCCCUCUCGAUCUCUCUGUGUCUGUUCGUCUUUCUCUCUGUCUCCCUCCCUCCUUCUCAAUCUCUCACUCUCUACAGUCUCUCAGUGUCUGUACCGCCCUCAGGCAUCUGUUUGUGUUACACUGGUUUGAACUGGGAGCGAUCCAGUUCCCACUGACCCAGCCCCAAUCCCAGCACUGUGUCUGAGCCAGCAGCAGAUCACAGUGAGACGCCACCGAGAGAGAGACCGUGUGUGAAUAUGACUUUCUUCCAGUCUUUCUGUCUCCUUCCAUCUCUGUCUUUUUCUCUCUUGUCCCCAUUUCCCUCUUCCCCUCUAUUCUCUCUCUCUUCCCCUCUAUUCU